CUUCGGAACAAGGAGUGCCUGCCUAGUGAUUAGGCAGGUCGCAGUGACCAGGGAGCUCUAACUGUCUAACAACAACAUAGCAGACUGCAACUCCGUAAGGACUAGUAUAGUCUGUGAAUCCUGCCCAGUGCGGGUAUCUGAACACUGAUUACAAUCGGACGAAGGACCCGUAAACGGCGGGGGUAACUAUGACCCUCUUAAGGUAGCGUAGUACCUUGUCGCUUAAUUGGCGACUUGCAUGAAUGGAUUAAUGAGGGCUCUACUGUCCCUACCGCAAAUCCGUUGAACCUUUUAUCCUAGUGCAGAGGCUAGGGACUCCCAUCGGGAAGUGAAGACCCCAUGGAGCUUUACUGCAGCCUGUCGUUGACUUACGGUAUUACAUGCGCAGCGUAGAUAGUAGGUGUUAAUGCUCAUAUUCCGGUAUGAGUGGAGCCACAGUUGAGACACUAUCCUUGUUCUGCUGUAAUUCUCACUCAUCUUUCAUGGUGAGGACAUCGGUAGGUAGGCAGUUUGGGUGGGGCGCCACACCCUCGAAAAAAUAUCAAGGGUGCCCUAUGGUCAACUCAUGUGAGUCAGCAACUCACAGGAGAGUGUCAAGAGCAUAAGUUGGCUUGACGUGAUUUCGCACAGCAAGAAAUCACGAGUGGAAACACGGGUCUAACGAACCAAUACGCCUUUUUGGUGAGGGCUAUUGACUACAGAAAAGCUACCCUGGGGAUAACAGAGUCGUCGCCGGCAAGAGCACAUAUCGACCCGGCGGCUUGCUACCUCGAUGUCGGUUCUUUCCAUCCUGGCUGUGCAGCAGCAGCCAAGGGUGAGGUUGUUCGCCUAUUAAAGGGGAUCGUGAGCUGGGUUCAGACCGUCGUGAGACAGGUCGGUUACUAUCUGAUGGGAGUGUUCGAAAUCUGAGAGCAAGAAUGAAAUAGUACGAGAGGAACUUUCAUUCGUCACCUCUGGUGUAUCGGUUGUCUGAUAAGGCAGUGCCGAGCAGCUACGUGGCACGAGAUAAAAACUGAAAGCAUCUAAGUUUGAACCUUCGCUUGAAAAGAGAUUUCGUUACAGAGCACCGGUAAAAGACCGGGUUAAUAGGCUUGGGAUGUACGCACGAAGGCAACGACGUGUUCAGUCCGCAAGUACUAACGCUCAAAUCCAGAUUC
rnacentral:rRNA from 1 species